rnacentral:rRNA from 1 species
GACGAACGCUGGCGGCGUGCUUAACACAUGCAAGUCGAACGGGCAGGCCCUGCUUUUGUGGGGUGCUCGAGUGGCGAACGGGUGAGUAACACGUGAGUAACCUGCCCUUGACUUUCGGAUAACUUCAGGAAAAUGGGGCUAAUACCGGAUAGGAGCUCCUGCUGCAUGGUGUGGGUUGGAAAGUUUCGGCGGUUGGGGAUGGACUCGAGGCUUAUCAGCUUGUUGGUGUGGUAGUUACUUACGAAGGCUGUGACGGGUAGCCGGCCUGAGAGGGUAACCGGCGUCAUUGCUACUGAGGGACGGAGCAGACGCCUACGGGAGGCAGCAGUGGGGAGCAUGACACAACGGGGGGAAGUCAGAGGCAGCAACGCUGCGUGCGGGAUAACGGCCUUCGGGUGGUAAACCGCUUUCGCAGGUGACGAAGCGAGAGUGACGGUAAUUGGUAAGAAAGCACCGGCUAACUACGUG